rnacentral:rRNA from 1 species
CAGUCGCCGCGGUAAUACGUAGGGUGCGAGCGUUACUCGGAAUUACUGGGCGUAAAGGGCUCGCAGGCGGUUUCUUAAGUCUGAUGUGAAAGCCCCCGGCUCAACCGGGGAGGGUCAUUAGAAACUGGGAAACUUGAGUGCAGAAGAGGAGAGUGGAAUUCCACGUGUAGCGGUGAAAUGCGUGGAGAUGUGGAGGAACACCAGUGGCGAAGGCGACUCUCUGGUCUGUAACUGACGCUGAGGAGCGAAAGCGUGGGGAGCGAACAGGAUUAGAUACCCCUGUAGUCCCUGUCUCUUAUAC